rnacentral:rRNA from 1 species
AAAUUUUGGCUAAGUUACUAAGGGCAUACGGUGGAUGCCUUGGCACAAGAAGGCGAUGAAGGGCGUGGCUACCUGCGAUAAGCCGCGGUAAGGUGGAAACAACCUAGGACCCGCGGAUUCCCGAAUGGGGCAACCCGAUUGGAGUAAUGUCCAAUCAUCCCUAACUGAAUCCAUAGGUUAGGUGAGGCUAACCCGGGGAACUGAAACAUCUAAGUACCCGGAGGAAGAGAAAAUAAUAAUGAUUCCCUAAGUAGUGGCGAGCGAAAGGGGAAGAGCCUAAACCGUCCAACAUGUUAAAGGGCGCAACCGUUGUGUUGGCGGUGUAGUGGGACCAUAUCUGGCUGAAUUGCGACUAAGCCGGGAAGUUACAAAUCAUAUUGUUAGUCGAAUACUCUGGAAAGUUUAACCAUAGAGGGUGAAAGUCCCGUAGACGAAAACAAUAUGACUUCCCCGAUAUGGCACCCAAGUACCACGGAGUGAGUGGAAUUCUGUGGGAAUCUGCCAGAACCAUCUGGUAAGGCUAAAUACUCUCUUGUGACCGAUAGCGCAUAGUACCGUGAGGGAAAGGUGAAAAGUACUCCUAGUAGGAGAGUGAAAUAGUACCUGAAACCGUAUGCUUACAAACGGUUGGAGCUCCGA